rnacentral:rRNA from 1 species
ACGGACGAACGCUGGCGGCGUGCUUAACACAUGCAAGUCGAGCGGAAAGGCCCUUCGGGGUACUCGAGCGGCGAACGGGUGAGUAACACGUGAGUAACCUGCCCCUAGCUCUGGGAUAGCUCCGGGAAACCGGGAUUAAAUACCAGAUACGACCACUUUAGACAUCUGUCGUGGUGGAAAGGAUUCCGGCUAGGGAUGGGCUCGCGGCCUAUCAGCUUGUUGGUGGGUAACGGCCUACCAAGGCGACGACGGGUA